rnacentral:rRNA from 18 species
AGCAAUUGGACAUGGGUUAGUCGGUCCUAAGAGAUAGGGAAAUUCCGUAUCAAUGCAUGAAAUCGAUUAUACAGCAAUGUGUAGUCUCAAUUUCAUCGUAUAUCGAAAGGGAAUCAGGUUAAUAUUCCUGAACCAGGACGUGGAUAUUGUAUGGUAACAUAACAGAACUCACUUUAGUCAGCGCAAAGUCCGGGAAGAGUUAUCUUUUCUUUUUAACAAUCUUAGACCCUGAAAUGAAUUUACUUCGAGCUAGGGUUUUCUGAUUGGGAAAGUACUGAAUUUUUUCAGUAUCCGGUGCCUUUGCGACGGCACUUAAAAGAGUGAGGGACAGAAUUAUUCGCACCCCUGGCCGUACUCAUAACCGCAUCAGGUCU